rnacentral:ncRNA from 1 species
AUAUAGUUUGAUUCUUGCUUUAUAUUUAAUUUUUUGAUUAGUUUAUAUACUUUAAAUUAUUAAAUGUUAGUUUUAGUAGUAAAUAAAAUUAAAAAAUUUAUUUAUUUAAAUUUAGUGAUUUAAUUAAAUAGUUGAUAAAUUCUGUGCCAGCAUUCGCGGUUAUACAGUUAACUAAAAUUAAAUUUUUUGGUUUUUAUUAAUUAUUCUUAUUUGAAAUUAAUUUUUUGUUAUUUAGGUGGAAUUUAUAUUUUUCUUAUUUUCUAUUGGUUAAUUUAUUAUAAAUUUAUUAGUUCAAAAUAGGAUUAGAUACCCUACUAUGUUUAAAUUUGAAUUUAACUUGAAUAAAAGUUGAUUAUUCUCCAUAACUCAAAGAAUUUGGCGGCUAAUUUUAUUUUUAGAGGAACCUGUGUAUUAAUUGAUAAACCACGAUAUUUUUUACUUUCUACUUACUUAUAUAUCUCUAUGUAAGGAUUGUUUUUUAAGGAUUAUUUUCUUUAAGUUUAAUCAAUUAUUUUAGGUCAAGGUGUAGUUUUUAGGAUAGUUUAUGUGGGUUACUUUAGUUUAAAUUAUAAUUGUGAUUUAUUGUUUAUAACAUUAAUAUAUACUUAGGAUUUAAAAGUAAUUUUAUUUAAUUAAUUAUUUUGAAUUUUUUUAAUAUUAGUGUACAUAUUGCCCGUCACUCCUAUUUUGGGAUAAGUCGUAACAUAGUAACCCUACCGGAAGGUGGGGUUAGUUGUU